ACAAAACUAUGUAAAAUAUAAUAAAAAAAUUUCGAAGAAAAAAAAAAUGAAUAAAAACUCUUUGUUUGGUGCAAUAUAAUGUUUUUGUUUUUUGUUUCAAAAUCUAAACUCGAAAUCGAGCAAAACAUUCUAGCCUUAUAAUACCAAAAAAGUACAAAAAUGGGGGGUAUCCUGUAAGGAAAGCAGACAAAAAAAAAACCCAGAAACAAAACCAAAAAAAUCAUCUAGAGAAGCAAAAUGAAAAAAAAGGAGAUGCAUUUGAUUUAUUUGAUUUGAAUUCCAUAACAUAUUUUCACAAUUCCAUAGUUCGAUAAGUUUAUUUUUAACGCAACAGUUGCGCAGCUACAGUCCGAAGUCCAAACCUUCCAACACUUCCCAACACACUUUUCCCAUAACACUGAAGCAAAGGAAUCAUCAACACGAAUAACGGAACAACGAACAACGAAGAACGAAGAACGAAGAACGAACAACGGAACAUUGAACCAGAGAACAAAGAAGAACGAAUCUAACGAACUACGAAUCACAUUUCUACGAAUCCCAAUACCUCGAUCACAAAUGCUACUAAUUACUACGAACCACGAACCAGUACACGUUCCGUUCCAAUUCAUUCGCGAUGCAGCGGAUGUUCCAAGGAACCACUUGAAAAGACGUUACUCGGCCAUUGCGAUUUCAAGCCUACGGUACCGCGACCGCAACCCCAACCCCAAUCCACUUCCUUACCCAUCCGCCCUUCCCCCCGUCCCCCGUCCUACUGCAACCAUUCGACAAACCGAGGUCGGCGCGAAGGAUUUGCGUACUUGAAAGCGACACUGGCCCAUCCGGUUUGCUGCACUUGUCAAUCGUUUGAAAUAUAUGCUUCACUUUAGACAUACGUAUAUAUGUA